CCUACGGGUGGCAGCAGUGGGGAAUAUUGCACAAUGGGGGAAACCCUGAUGCAGCGACGCCGCGUGAGUGAAGAAGUAUUUCGGUACGUAAAGCUCUAGCAGCAGGGAAGAAAAAAAGUCCUUUGGACUUUGGACGGUACCUGACCAAGAAGCCCCGGCUAACUCAGUGCCAGCAGCCGCGGUAAUACGUAGGGGGCAAGCGUUAUUCGGAUUUACGGGGUGGAAAGGGAGCGAAGACGGCAGGGCAAGUCUGGAGUGAAAUGCCGGGGCCCAACCCCGGAACGGAUUGGGAAACGGUGCAGCUGGAGUGCAGGAGAGGUAAGCGGAAUUCCUAGUGUAGCGGUGAAAUGCGUAGAUAUUAGGAGGCACACCAGUGGCGAAGGCGGCUUACUGGACUGUAACUGACGUUGAGGCUCGAAAGCGUGGGGAGCAAACAGGAUUAGAUACCCGGGUAGUC
rnacentral:rRNA from 1 species